CAAGCUUUUAUUUAUAAAAAUUAUAGAAUUAAGAAUGAUCCUCACAAGUGCAUCGCAAUUCGAAGUACCUAAUUGUAGAUUUUAUGGAAAGGAAUGGGGACCUAAACAAGCCUGCCGAUGGACCCCACGGCAGGUUAACUGCCAUAAAUAAAUGUCCGUACAUGGUGUAGAAUCUCCUACGACCUAUUCUGCACAUGUGGGGAGCCCAAGACGCUCUGUCGUUGGACGAAGCUCAAGAUGCCCUGUCGUCGGAAGAAGCCCAAUACUUGUUGCCCCACUGAGACCAAAGCAGAGUCCUAGGACAACCCGUCGACGCGUGAUUCGUCCGAGGCAGUCAACGCCGCGACGCUAUCGUCCUCUCGUGGGGAUUUAGGCCAUUUAUGUAAUGGAUAACUAUAUAAGUAAUAAAUGAUUAUUUUUAAA